UGCAGAUGAGGGGGCGGGGCUAUGUAAAGCAGUGGGCGGGGCUAUGCAAAGCAGGGGGCGGGGUUAUGCAGAUCAGGGGGCAGACCCGCCGCCAUCUCGCGGCUCCGCCGCACGGCCGUGGUCGCGGUCCCGCGUGGGCGCAGGGCUGGGGCUGGCGGGGGCGGCUGUGGGCUGUCCCUGUCCCUGUCCCUGUCCCCGUCCUUGUCCUUGUCCUAGUCCUCAUCCCCAUCCCCAGUCACCAGCCCAGCACCCGUGGGUGAUGUGGUGCUGCUCCGAGCCCCGUCACAGCAGUGCAGGGACGUGGCUACCGCCAGCUCUCGCCUCCCUCCGUGACAAACCCACCAGGGGACUCGAGCUGUCCCCCUGGGGUGUCCCCAGGGCCCCAUCCAGGUCUCCUUGUCCCCAUCUGCCUCCACCCGCGGCUGGAGGGCUUUGGAGGAGGUCAGGGCUCUGCAGGCAGAGGGGAAGGUGGCAGCAAAGCUAUCCAUUAAAGAGUCUCAACUCAAUUAAGGCUAUUGAUUAAUCAAUUAGGAGAAGCUUGACCUGACUUCUCAGCAAUAACCAGAACUGUCCCUGGUGAUGGACAGCAGCAGGCCCGGGGCUGGCGUGUGUCCCCGGGGCACAUCCCUGAACGAGCCUGGUGCUUGCUCCUGGUCCCAGUACCUGGCCCUCGUACCUGAUCCUUGCGCCUGGCCCUUGCUCCGUGGAGCCACAAGGCUCCUGCCGAGGCCGUGCCCACUCCAGCUGCAGGAAACCCGGCCACAUCCACAGCUCUAAGCUUGGCAUCAGGCCGGGGCCAGGCCCGGGAGGCCACGGGUGUGAGCACAAGAGACGUAGGUUUGGGCAGCCUGCACAUCAAACCUGCCGUGCCAGCACCGAGCGCAUCUGCCGGGCUCUACAAAUUAAUGGCGGCUUUAUAUCUCUGGUAAUAUAUUUCAUUGAUUUUCUCUUGUUAUAACCGCAGUUCCUGCAUUGCAGUCGGGUGUUUUGUCGCUUUACCCUGACAGGGCGCGGAGGAUUUACCGCCGCUCGGCUGGCCGGGGCAGCACCGUGCCGCCGGCACCCCCAGCCCUGCCCGCCCCGGGGAGCCACGGCCGCAUCCCUGCCGCGAGCUUUAUGGUCCCGGGGAGAGCGUAGCUCUGGCUCGUUUUAUUAGCAAGCUGACAUUUUGGCGCAGACCCGGCUGUGGCCUCUGUGACUGCAGGGGUGGGGAGGCGGCAGGGCCCCCUGCCCCGGCAUGGUGCCUUGGGGUGCCCCAUGGCACCAGCAGCACGUGGCCAAGCCAACUCGGAGCCCACGGGGACAGCGUCUUCACAGCACCCCCUAAGUCCCCCUGCUCAUUGUGCUGCGGGCAAGAUUUCGUCUCUGUCUCUCUCUCUUCGCAAGCCGUGUUUUAAUUUAAAUUGACAUUUCUGCAUUUUUAACUACCUGUCCCCAGGCUCGGCUGCCACCCUCGGGGGGCAGGAGGGCUGCGCCACCACGGGCUGGGGUGGCUGGGUGGCACGUCCCACCCGCGCCUGUCA
rnacentral:lncRNA from 1 species